CUCAGAUUGAACGCUGGCGGCAGGCCUAACACAUGCAAGUCGAGCGGUAGAGAGAAGCUUGCUUCUCUUGAGAGCGGCGGACGGGUGAGUAAUGCCUAGGAAUCUGCCUGGUAGUGGGGGAUAACGUUCGGAAACGGACGCUAAUACCGCAUACGUCCUACGGGAGAAAGCAGGGGACCUUCGGGCCUUGCGCUAUCAGAUGAGCCUAGGUCGGAUUAGCUAGUUGGUGAGGUAAUGGCUCACCAAGGCGACGAUCCGUAACUGGUCUGAGAGGAUGAUCAGUCACACUGGAACUGAGACACGGUCCAGACUCCUACGGGAGGCAGCAGUGGGGAAUAUUGGANNNUGGGCGAAAGCCUGAUCCAGCCAUGCCGCGUGUGUGAAGAAGGUCUUCGGAUUGUAAAGCACUUUAAGUUGGGAGGAAGGGCAGUUACCUAAUACGUGAUUGUUUUGACGUUACCGACAGAAUAAGCACCGGCUAACUCUGUGCCAGC
rnacentral:rRNA from 1 species